rnacentral:rRNA from 1 species
UUUCGCAAUGCCCGAAAGGGUGACGAAGCGACGCCGCGUGUGGGAAGAAGGCCUUCGGGUUGUAAACCGCUGUUGGGAGUUAGGAAGUGUGGGAGUGUUAAUAGCGCUUCCACUUGACUAAAGCUCCAGAGGAAGCCACGGCUAACUCUGUGCCAGCAGCCGCGGUAAUACAGAGGCGGCAAGCGUUGUUCGGAAUUAUUGGGCGUAAAGAGCACGUAGGCGGCUCUGCAAGUCAGCUGUGAAAGCCUUCUGCUUAACGGAAGAACAGCAGUUGAAACUACAGGGCUUGAGUGCGGGAGGGGAGAGUGGAACUUCUGGUGGAGCGGUGAAAUGCGUAGAUGUCAGAAGGAACGCCGGCGGCGAAAGCGGCUCUCUGGUCCGUAACUGACGCUGAGUGUGCGAAAGCUAGGGGAGCAAACGGGAUUAGAUACUCCGGUAGUCCUAGCCGUAAACGAUGGGCACUAAGUAGAGGGGUUUU